rnacentral:rRNA from 1 species
CCUACGUGGCGCAGCAGUGAGGAAUAUUUGUCAAUGGGCUUACGCCUGAACCAGCCAAGUCGCGUGAGGGAAGACUGCCCUAUGGGUUGUAAACCUCUUUUGUCAGGGAGCAACGCCGGCUACGUGUAGCCGGACUGAGAGUACCUGAAGAAAAAGCAUCGGCUAACUCCGUGCCAGCAGCCGCGGUAAUACGGAGGAUGCGAGCGUUAUCCGGAUUUAUUGGGUUUAAAGGGUGCGUAGGCGGAAUGCCAAAUCUGGAGUGAAAUGCCGCAGCUUAACUGCGGAACUGCUUUGGAAACUGGCGAACUAGAGUGCGGGAGGGGUAAGCGGAAUUCCUAGUGUAGCGGUGAAAUGCGUAGAUAUUAGGAGGAACACCGGUGGCGAAGGCGGCUUACUGGACCGUAACUGACGUUGAGGCUCGAAAGCGUGGGGAGCAAACAGGAUUAGAUACCCGAGUAGUC